UGAUUUCCCGUGAUUCAUUAAGUGUCCUACUCAGCGAUAAUGUCCUGCAGGCCUGACUGAUGCUCAUGGAAAAUUGUGCCGUCAGAUAGCUGACGAGCUCCCACUUUAUCGCUGGUUUU
rnacentral:sRNA from 1 species